UACAGAGGGUGCAAGCGUUGUUCGGAAUCACUGGGCGUAAAGGGCGCGUAGGCGGCUCGGUAAGUCAGAGGUGAAAUCCCGGAGCUCAACUUCGGAAUUGCCUCCGAUACUGCCGUGCUUGAGGACUGGAGAGGAGAUUGGAAUUCACAGUGGAGCAGUGAAAUGCGUAGAUAUUGUGAGGAACACUAGUGGCGAAGGCGAAUCUCUGGACAGUUCCUGACGCUGAGGAACGAAGGCCAGGGGAGCAAACGGG
rnacentral:rRNA from 1 species